CUUAUGCCAGACUAACCUUAUUUCCUUUGAUGACAGGAUUACUAAAUUAGCAGACGAAGGGAAUAUCAAAAACCUAUCGUCCGUUAUCAAGUGUGACUAAGGAAGUUUAAAAUGAUCCUGAGAAAUAUUUGGACUAUUUCAAUAGGACAUUAUUUUGAUUGAUGGAAUGCCAAGGCAUUUGGAAGGGAGGCUAGAAGCACACAACCUUGUGGAGAGAUGCCUGCGAGUUUUCCAUUGGAUCAUCUGCUAUGCCUCUAGCUGCAGGAUUCUGUGAAACCUCAGAGAAACCUACAGAUGGAUAAUGAACCAAGCCCAGAAUUGACUAGGAGGAGGAGAGAGGACAGGACUUCAUUUGAAGAAUUGUGUAGUGCUUCUUAAUGACUCCCGGCUUCUCCCUGGAAUAACAAUUCAUCUUUUAAAAGCCAAUAUUCUUCUUGAUAUACAGUAUGGCUGUGAAUCAUGGAAUACCACAUUAUCCAAGAAAUUAAAGCUACGGGUUAUCCAACAGGCAAUGGAGAGAUGUAUGAUGGGAAUAACCAUGGUGCUGCAUGCUACCAAUGAAAAAUGGCUCAUAGGAAUCCAAGCGCGGGAUCCCAUUGAAAUGAUGUAUGACUAAAAAUAGUGGUUGCCUGCACGUACAGCUAGAGCAAUGAUGAGGAGA